CCAGUACAAGGAAAACAGCCAAAUUUCAUACAAAAAUUUGGACACACAACUCUUCAAGAAGGAGAAGAUUUAAUCCUGCAUUGCACUGUACAUGGAAAGCCCAAACCACAUGUCUACUGGAGCAAGGAUGAUAUCCAAGUAGUUGCUGGAGACGUCAGUACUGAGAAAUUAGGAGAUAACUACUACCUCUUAAAAAGAAAUGUAGCCCUUGCUGAUACUGGGAAGUAUAUCUGUGUUGCCAGCAAUGAAGUCGGAAAGGCACACUGCUCUGCUAUAGUAACAGUGAGAGAGAAAAAUAAAAACCCACAAAUUUCUACUCAGGCUAAAUCAGAAUGGAAAAAUGGGUACUUCUCAACAAAAGGGAAUGUCACCACAGCUGAGCUUGUACAAGCCCAGGACAUGUGUUGUGUGAGAGGCCAAAUGCCAGUCCCGAGGCAUCUCCCAGUAAGGUUUAAAGAGAAACUGUGGCUUCAAGGAGUGUAUCUUGAGCUUGUGAGACCACCAGAUGUUAGCUUCAGUCUGGAACAUGUUCCUGGUUUACUUCAGCCUACUGCCAAGGAUCCGAAGAUGAACUGUGCCUGAUUUAUGAGGGGGUUCAUCUUGUUUGCUGUGUCCAUGUGUGAUGAGAAAAUGAAUCUUUGAGAGCUAUUUGAUGUUUAUCUAGGUUGAAAUUUAUAUUUGAUUUCUCUAUAAAUCGUUAUUAAUAAAACUCACUAAUGCCCA
rnacentral:lncRNA from 1 species